rnacentral:rRNA from 1 species
CAGAGGGUGCGAGCGUUAAUCGGAAUUACUGGGCGUAAAGCGCGCGUAGGCGGCUUUGCAAGUCGGGUGUGAAAUCCCCAGGCUUAACCUGGGAACUGCAUUCGAGACUGCAUUGCUAGAGUAUGGGAGAGGGAAGUGGAAUUUCCGGUGUAGCGGUGAAAUGCGUAGAUAUCGGGAGGAACAUCAGUGGCGAAAGCGACUUCCUGGACCAAUACUGACGCUCAUGUGCGAAAGCGUGGGGAGCAAACAGGAUUAGAUACCCUGGUAGUCCACGCCAUAAACGAUGAGAACUGGAUGUCGGGAGGGUCUGCCUCUCGGUGUCGUAGCUAACGCGUUAAGUUCUCCGCCUGGGGAGUACGGCCGCAAGGUUG